rnacentral:rRNA from 1 species
UACGUAGGGGGCAAGCGUUGUCCGGAUUUAUUGGGCGUAAAGAGCGUGUAGGCGGCUUGGUAGGUCCGCUGUGAAAACUCGAGGCUCAACCUCGAGAUGUCGGCGGAAACCACUUGGCUAGAGUCCGGAAGAGGAGAGUGGAAUUCCUGGUGUAGCGGUGAAAUGCGCAGAUAUCAGGAAGAACACCGGUGGCGAAGGCGGUUCUCUGGGCCUUACCUGACGCUGAGGAGCGAAAGCGUGGGGAGCGAACAGG